AUUGUUUUUCUCCUUUACUGAAUCUCCCAGCUGAAAAUGCUUCCUGGAUGGGCUUUACUACUCUGAGUCCCAAAUAGCAGGAGAUGAGGGCUAUCUUGGCGCCACUAGCUGGUGCAAAUAUACUGCGGUGAAGGCCGAAUGCUGAUGAUACGCAAAUGUAAGUAGCGCUUCGCUCCCGCACCUUCCAGCCAUCAACACUGCCACUUCAUCCCACUUGUCCGUCCCCCCAACACUGGCAUCAUUCCCUCAUUCCAGCCGGCAACAGCUGUGCUCCUUUUUGCAUGUUUGCAAAGUUGCACAUUGCAUGUGCCAGCCCCUAUGGCCUAGAUUUCCAGCCCCACUAUGGGCCAGUCCUAUAUUCCAGAGCUGUAGUAGUCACAGGACUGGCCCUUUGGUCAUCCCUGAGCAGUUCCUCAAACCGGGAGCAGUGGCCAGCUGGGGAGCAGGCAAUUCCCCUGCAGGCUAAUGUACCCGGAUGGAGGAGCUGCUCUGGGAUGACCAAAGGGCCAGUCCUGUGACUACUUCAGCUCUGGAUUAUGAGACUGACUUUCCCACCAACAUCAGCAAGCCACCGUAAAUCUGCCCAUCUUUGUUUUCCUUCACUCAGGUUGACCAAGCUUCUUGAGAGAAGGAACACAAAAGAGGGUUCCAGGCUGUGUGCCUGGACCAGGUGCUUUCUCUCGGGCCUCCCACCCCGAGGCCUCGCAGAAGCAGACAGGUAGGCCCAAAAGGCGUCUGAGCCUCCCCCUCCCCCAGUGGUCCAUGGGAUUUAAAAUUAUGAAUUUGGUGGUCUCUGAGGUCCAAGAGGUUGGAGGCCCCAAUCUGCAGCAAGGAUGGAUAGUGCAGGAGAUGACUAGGCUGAGCCCGAGGAAAUGAUCAAAUGCAUCAUAAGUCAUGAGUCCCUGCAUGUCCGCAAAAGAUCCAAGUCCAGCACAUCUUGAAUGUCUUUUAUUCCCACUCAUUUCCUUAACUGUUAGUAGUUCAGAUUUUUGUAGAGAUCUUAAGCUUGCAAUAAAUCUUUAUACUCAUCUGAACUCCCUGUAUCUCCUGAUUUCCCUGGUGCCUGACAACGCAAUGAUGGGUGCACCACUCGAAGGUCUGAAAAAACAGACUGGGGGCUGAUCCUCCUGAUGAAAAUUUAUCUGAUCACUAAGAUUCAACAACAACUUGAUGCAUCUGGAUCCCAUUGCAACUGGUACGCUGCAAUGGGCCC